GGAUCCAGACUUUGAUUAUGGCUCAGGAUGAACGCUAGCUACAGGCUUAACACAUGCAAGUCGAGGGGCAGCGGUAUCGAAAGCUUGCUUUCGGUAGCCGGCGACCGGCGCACGGGUGAGUAACGCGUAUCGAACCUGCCUCAUACUCGGGAAUAGCCUUGCGAAAGUAAGAUUAAUGCCCGGUGUUUUCAGAGUCCCGCAUGAGGCUUUGAACAAAGAUUUAUCGGUAUGAGAUGGCGAUGCGUCCCAUUAGCUUGUUGGCGGGGUAACGGCCCACCAAGGCAUCGAUGGGUAGGGGUUCUGAGAGGAAGGUCCCCCACAUUGGAACUGAGACACGGUCCAAACUCCUACGGGAGGCAGCAGUGAGGAAUAUUGGUCAAUGGGCGGAAGCCUGAACCAGCCAAGUAGCGUGCAGGAAGACGGCCCUCCGGGUUGUAAACUGCUUUUAGUUGGGAAUAAAACGGGGCUCGUGAGCCCCCUUGCAUGUACCAUCAGAAAAAGGACCGGCUAAUUCCGUGCCAGCAGCCGCGGUAAUACGGAAGGUCCGGGCGUUAUCCGGAUUUAUUGGGUUUAAAGGGAGCGCAGGCGGACCUUUAAGUCAGCUGUGAAAUACGGCGGCUCAACCGUCGAACUGCAGUUGAUACUGGAGGUCUUGAGUGCACACAGGGAUGCUGGAAUUCAUGGUGUAGCGGUGAAAUGCUCAGAUAUCAUGAAGAACUCCGAUCGCGAAGGCAGGCAUCCGGGGUGCAACUGACGCUGAGGCUCGAAAGUGCGGGAAUCAAACAGGAUUAGAUACCCUGGUAGUCCGCACAGUAAACGAUGAAUACUCGCGGUUUGCGAUACAUUGUAAGCCGCCAAGCGAAAGCGUUAAGUAUUCCACCUGGGGAGUACGCCGGCAACGGUGCAACUCAAAUGAAUUGACGG
rnacentral:rRNA from 1 species